rnacentral:rRNA from 1 species
CAAUAGCGUAUAUUAAAGUUGUUGCAGUUAAAAAGCUCGUAGUCGGAUUUUGGCAUCAUGCCGAACUGUCAGCCGAUUGGUUUGUACGGUUUGGCGGGUGCUCUCCUUCCGGAGGCUCGUUUCCUCUUUCAUUAGAGGGUUCGAUGGUUCCGGGUCUUUUACUUUGAAAAAUUAGAGUGUUCAAAGCAGGCCAACGCAUUGAAUACAUUAGCAUGGAAUAAUGGAAUAGGACUUUGGUCUUAUUUUGUUGGUUUCUAAGGCCGAGGUAAUGAUUAAUAGGGAUAGUUGGGGGCGUUUAUAUUCCGUUGUCAGAGGUGAAAUUCUUGGAUUUACGGAAGAUAAACUACUGCGAAAGCAUUCGCCAAGGAUGUUUUCAUUAAUCAAGAACGAAAGUUAGGGGAUCGAAGACGAUCAGAUACCGU